rnacentral:rRNA from 1 species
AUUGAACGCUGGCGGCAGGCCUAACACAUGCAAGUCGAGCGGAGCGGCGGACGGGUGAGUGAUGCCUACGCGUCUGCCUGGUACUGGGGGAUAACGUCCGGAAACGGGAGAUAACACCGCAUACUAUCCGAUGAGACGAGGUCGGAUUGGCUAGUGGGUGGGUUCAUGUCCUACCAAGGCGACGAUCGGUACCGGGUCUGAGAGGUUGAUCAGUCACACGGGAACUGAAACAGGGCCAAGACCCCUACGGGAGGCAGCAGUGGGGAAUAUUGCACAAGGGGCGAAAGCUGGCUGCAGCCAUGCGGGGUGGGUGAAGAAGGUCUCCGGAUGGUAAAGCACUUUAAGUGGGGCGGCGUUACCAACAGAGUAAGCAACGGCUAACUCCGUGCCAGCAGCCGCGGUAAUAC